rnacentral:lncRNA from 1 species
GAAGGACUUCAUGGUGACCGGGCUUGGUGGGGUGCAGCUGCUCAUUUUGACAGGCUGGAAGAGAGGACCAGGAGAGCAAGCAAAAGGAGGCAGUGGAGACAAGAUCACACUGGCUGCUGUGUGGAGGAAAAUGCAGCAGGGUGAAGCCAUGAGGAGGCCGGUGAAGAAAUAAACCCAGGACCUGUACCACAGCCACUGUGGCCUCACCAGCUGGACUUCAGGAAUCACAAGAAUGGCAACCCAAGGAGAGAAGGAAGGAUAGCCGCCACACCCAGAGCACUGGCUUCUGCUGAGAGCAGAGGCUCUGGGAUGCUGUGCUGUGCUGACCUAAUGUGAGCCCCACAUCUUCUAUUACACAUCUUGUCCACUGCUCAGGGUGAAUGGGGUAGAACAGUCUAGAUUAAAUUUUUAUGCUGAC